rnacentral:rRNA from 1 species
UACGGGGGGGGCAAGCGUUGUUCGGAAUUACUGGGCGUAAAGUGUGCGCAGGUGGCUUCGCAAGUCGAGUGUGAAAUCCCCGGGCUUAACCUGGGAAUUGCGCUCGAAACUACGGAGCUGGAGUAUGGCAGAGGGAGGUGGAAUUCCACGUGUAGCGGUGAAAUGCGUAGAGAUGUGGAGGAACACCAAUGGCGAAGGCAGCCUCCUGGGCCAAUACUGACACUCAUGCACGAAAGCGUGGGGAGCAAACAGG